UACAUGGGGUGCAAACGUUGCUCGGAAUUACUGGGCGUAAAGGGCGCGUAGGCGGUGUGUCAAGUCAGGCGUGAAAGCCCCGGGCUCAACCUGGGAACCGCGCUUGAGACUGGCACGCUCGAGUUCGGGAGAGGAUGGUGGAAUUCCCUGUGUAGCGGUGAAAUGCGUAGAGAUGGGGGAGAACACUCGUGGCGAAGGCGGCCAGCUAGACCAGUUCUGACACUGAGGCGCGACAGCGUGGGGAGCAAACAGG
rnacentral:rRNA from 1 species